rnacentral:rRNA from 1 species
CCCUUAGAUGUUCUGGGCCGCACGCGCGCUACAAUGGUCUUCGCAAACGGAUGCAUUCUCGAAGGAGAAUGCCAAUCUUGGAAUCUAUGCCUUGGUCGGGACAGUUGCUUGCAAUUUUUCGACUUGAACCAGGAAUUCCUUGUAAUCGUGAUUCAUCACAUCACGAUGAAUACGUCCCUGCCCUUUGUACACACCGCCCGUCGCUCCUACCGAUCGAAGAGUUAGGUGAAUUGUUUUGAUCGAUAAGAUUUGACUAUGGUCAACUCUCGUUGUGAAAUUCUGUGAAUCUGACUGUUUAGAGGAAGGAAAAGUCGUAACA